rnacentral:snRNA from 1 species
AUACUUACCCAACAGGGGAGAUAACGUGAUCACGAAGGUGGUUUUCCCAGGGCAAGGCUCAUCCAUUGCACUCCAGGUGUUGCACUCCUGCGAUUUCCCCAAAUGUGGGGAACUCGGCUGCAUAAUUUGUAGUAGGGAGGAGCUGUAUUCAUGCUUCCCCCUGG